AAAAGGGGACGGAGGGGAUUAAGUCGUCUUUACCCCGCCUGUGCGGAAAGCGACUUAAUCCCCUCCGUCCCCUUUU
rnacentral:antisense_RNA from 1 species